AAUCUCUCAGUCGGUUUUACUACUCACUGCAGUGACACACACAUUUUGUUCGCGGGGUUUUUACUUUCUCUCUCUAUACGUAUAGAUACGCACUUGCAUCAAUGUGUAUCUAUCUCUAGGACUGUUCUUUGCUUUCUUCCCCGGCAUCGAAGAUUACGCUUCCUCCGAUUCUAAGAAGAUUUCUUCCUUUUUCUCUGAGCCUGUAAUUCCUGCAAUUCCUUGCUUUCCGUUCAGUGUAGGUUCGUCUCUUUAUUAUAUCUUAUUUGUAUGUAUUUUUCUCCUUUCUCUUGGGGCUUUUCUCUCUCUAAAACAAUUUGUGUUCGUUGAAUAUUUUGGUUUUCAUUUUAUUGAUUUUUUUUUUCUGCUGUCGGUGUUAUUUUGAGCUGGUCUUAUUAUGAACUAGCUGAUUAUUGAAGCGAAUUAGUGCUAAUUUCUACUCCAAUUGAACUUUAAAUUGUUUGGAUCUAUGUUUCCCGAUUCGGAUGUGAAUGCUUAGCCAUUUGAUUUGGGAUUUUUCGUGCUUUUAGCUUACUCUUCCGAAUCUAGUCCGAGAAAAAUAAUUAUUUGUCAAUUCGGAAUAUGAAAUUACCAAAUGUGGGUAUAUAUUUUAGGUUUUCUGGGUAGCACUGCCAAAAUACUGCGUUGCUGAGUUUGUUGUAUGUCAGAAAUUGAAGUUUGCUGUGCCUUAGAUCCAUGGCUUCAAUUUAGGAGUCUGGGCAUACUUUUAAUUUUCAAGUGAUAUUUGUCUGUUCAUUGUACAGUUUCCAUUACAUUAUUUGUGUAUAAUAGGUAGUUUUAAUUGCUCUUCUUUGGUGUUGG
rnacentral:lncRNA from 1 species